rnacentral:rRNA from 1 species
UACAGAGGUCUCAAGCGUUGUUCGGAUUCAUUGGGCGUAAAGGGUGCGUAGGUGGCGCCGUAAGUCAGGUGUGAAAUUUCGGGAGCUUAACUCCGAAACUGCAUUUGAUACUGCGGUGCUUGAGGACUGGAGAGGAGACUGGAAUUUACGGUGUAGCAGUGAAAUGCGUAGAGAUCGUAAGGAAGACCAGUGGCGAAGGCGGGUCUCUGGACGAGUUC